GUUAUGUCUACAGCAGCCAGAUGGAUAAUUCAUUAAUAACGAGCACAUGGGGUCGCUCUGGCUAAAACAGCAUACAUGGAGAAUUUCAAAAGGCUUGCGCAUUAACGAUGCUCAAUGUUCCACCGCGUAUUAUUGACUUUUUCCUUCGUCCACUUUUGCGCAAAGGGAGAAUGUUGUAAGCGGUCCCUGUGGAUAUACUGUGUCUUCAUGAGGAGUUGAGCGCAAAUAAGGGGGCGGGUGAUGAUAAUGUGUGAAGAGUGGCAGCAACUUCUCACUACGGCAACAUUUUCCGUUCUUCUUCAGGCGACAUGCCCAUUCUUUCUAAAGAAGCUCCAAGGAGGAAGGCUGGCGGUGGACAUGGUGAAAAUGACAGGUAAAAGCACACAUUCAGUAUACAGGUGAAUCUCAGGGAGGCUGAUGAGUCACCACUGGAACAGUACACACCCUAUGAACAAGUGUCAACUCCAAACAUCUCCUUGGGUUCCACAGUCAUGUGGGUGUGGGAUCCAAAAAAAGCUGGUCCACAUGCAACAACCGAGAGGCAAUGUGCAAACAAAAUGUAGAAAGGCAGCAGCAACCACCACCUCCCCCAACACUCCUUGGUCCCCUCGGGCUAAACGUACCUGAUCUGAUUUCUUCAGCCACCUUCCAAUAUAAAAGUUGGAAACCGCAUAGUUGAACAAGCUCCAGAGCAAAUAAGAGGUCUCAGCAUUUCUCAGUAUGACUGAAUAAAAGGGAGGAGGAAAGGUUAAAUAAACAACUCACUGAAAUCCCAGUCUCGGCUCUUGGCAAAUACAACUUUCUGAAUUGGCAUGAUUAUGAUUCAUGUUCAGCAUGAGGGUUAUUGUAUAGAGUAUAUGCAUAACAAAAACUCAAAAUGAAAGCCCAAAUGUUUUCCAUCUUUUUAUUUUUAGAUUGCUCUUAUCUAUUAAAUGCUGUUAAAGGCUUUAUAUACCCAACAAAGUCAGGUUCUGU